rnacentral:tRNA from 1 species
GCCUUCGUAGCUCAGGGGAUAGAGCACCGCUCUCCUAAAGCGGGUGUCGCAGGUUCGAAUCCUGCCGAGGGCACAA